rnacentral:misc_RNA from 1 species
AAGUCGUAACAAGGUAACCGUAGGUGAACCUGCGGUUGGAUCAUUACUGAUUAUUGUUUCUAUGGAGUUGAUACCUUUACGGAGUCCUCCAUAGAGACUAACUACCCCUUGUGCACCAAAAUGUUUUUUGGGUCACGUAAGGUAGGGUAAAGUAAGCGAAAGCAUACAUUAUUCUACUGGUGGCCCAGUUGUAAAGACCAUAUCAAUUGUCUGAAAUCUCUAUAUAAAAUAGAAACAACUUUUGACAACGGAUCUCUUGGCUCUC